rnacentral:rRNA from 1 species
UUUGUGGAGAGUUUGAUCCUGGCUCAGGACGAACGCUGGCGGCAUGCCUAACACAUGCAAGUCGAACGGAGAGCGGAAGUUUCGAUGGAAGCUCUUAGUGGCGGACGGGUGAGUAACGCGUGGAUAACCUGCCUGAGAGUGGGGGAUAACAGCCCGAAAGGGCUGCUAAUACCGCAUAACGUUCCUGGAGGACAUCCUCUGGGAACCAAAGGAGCAAUCCGCUCUUGGAUGGGUCCGCGUCCGAUUAGCUAGUUGGUGAGGUAACAGCUCACCAAGGCGACGAUCGGUAGCCGGCCUGAGAGGGUGAACGGCCACACUGGGACUGAGACACGGCCCAGACUC